rnacentral:lncRNA from 1 species
GCAAAGCCCGCUCGCACGGUAACCUCCCUGGCCAAAUCCUCUUCGACGCUUCAUCUCAGGCUGCCAGCAACCCGUCUUAACUAGUCAUAUGGAGUUAGGUGCUGUUCCGUUAGUUUUCAAAGUAUCACUUGAAACUCAGGCUUUGAAAGGGGCCUCUGAAAAAUGGAUUUCUCUGCGGUAAUUAAAGGUGGCUUACAAUACUGACUGAAUCCAGGUUCGAUCUGCAGCUAAUUCCUGUUUACAAGUUAAUUGUUAUCUGGGGCUAGUUUCUAAUUUUUGUCAUCUGUAAAUGGGAGGUAGAUUGGUGGUGGCAUCAUUAGAGUCUUGUACCAACUAAACCACUUAAAGCCCCUAGCCGAGGUUAGUGCCUGGCAUUCAACGAACUGGAAUUAGUACAUUUCAAGAAGCUCCAAUGCCUGGAUUCCUAAGGCAGCCCGGAAAAAAGAGUGGCCACAGGCCUCCCCAAAGCAGUCGCUACUAAGGAUCUGGUAACUUAGUUGCUCCAGCCCCAAAAGUGGCAAAUCCGGGACCGUGCAAAAAUUCCUACGAUCUUAGUUUCUAGGGUCGAGUCUCACCCGAGUGUUUCUUCAGGAUGACUCGGUUUAGGCUUUGAAGAAUGAACGGGCCAUGGUUUGCCCACGCCUCUGCGCGCAGAGACGGGCGGCCCAAGCAAAACCACCUCUUUCCCCAAACGCUCCUAGAGCUCCUACCGAAGCAUUUUCUGGGAUCGUUCGCUUGGAGCAUUCAAAGGCGAAUGUGCGCGGUGGGGAGACGGUCUAAACAAGCUGGUUCCCGCGGACGCGCCUCCCACUGGCGAACCGUCGACGCUUUCGGAGUGGUGGGGAGGCAGCCUCCACCCUCUCCCCGCCUUCCUGCUCCUCCCCCCGCUUCCUUCCCCAAGCUCCGCCUCCCCUCCUUUGGCCUUGCUGUCACCAGCGGAAAAAAGUGGCUACUGUCCGGGAGUUUGGGGAAGGCAAAGUGGCAGAAAAAGAAGCAAGCACCUCAAUGGCCACACGUUAGAAUUUCCAGAGGAGCUGCUAACGAUUCCAAUGGGAGGGGAAGAAAACAAACAAAACCCCCAACCCUGAGCUGUCCACAUCACAGAAGGGGAUGUUCCCGGUGGAGACCACGAGGGAAGAUGACAAGGAUUACGCUAAGGUUUCAUAAACGAGGUAUGUUGUCCUACCAACUGUUUUCUGUUUCCUACUCCACCCCAUGCUUUCGGCCCCACCCCUAAAUCAAAGAAGACGGGUCAGGAAUAAAUUUUAAAAAU